rnacentral:tRNA from 1 species
GGGCCCUUAGUCGAGUGGUAAGACGUCACGUUGACAACGUGAAGACCUUGGGUUCGAUUCCCAAAGGGCCCA